GAUGAACGCUGGCGGCGUGCCUAAUACAUGCAAGUCGAGCGAAUGGAUUAAGAGCUUGCUCUUAUGAAGUUAGCGGCGGACGGGUGAGUAACACGUGGGUAACCUGCCCAUAAGACUGGGAUAACUCCGGGAAACCGGGGCUAAUACCGGAUAACAUUUUGAACCGCAUGGUUCGAAAUUGAAAGGCGGCUUCGGCUGUCACUUAUGGAUGGACCCGCGGCGCAUUAGCUAGUUGGUGAGGUAACGGCUCACAAAGGCAACGAUGCGUAGCCGCCCUGAGAGGGGGAUCGGCCACACUGGGACUGAGACACGGCCCAGACUCCAACGGGAGGCAGCAGUAGGGAAUCUUCCGCAAUGGACGAAAGUCUGACGGAGCAACGCCGCGUGAGUGAUGAAGGCUUUCGGGUCGUAAAACUCUGUUGUUAGGGAAGAACAAGUGCUAGUUGAAUAAGCUGGCACCUUGACGGUACCUAACCAGAAAGCCACGGCUAACUACGUGCCAGCAGCCGCCGUAA
rnacentral:rRNA from 1 species